rnacentral:lncRNA from 1 species
UUGAAGUCAGGCCACCUGUGCCACGGCUUGAGCAAACCGUGCUGCCUGUAGCUCCGCCAACAACGGGAGGCGUAAAAAUNCCCGGGGAGGCCAUGCGCCACGGAAGCUGUACGCGUGGCAUAUUGGACUAGCGGUUAGAGGAGACCCCUCCCAUCACCAACGAAACGCAGCAAAAGGGGGCCCAAAGCCAGGAGGAAGCUGUACUCCUGGUGGAAGGACUAGAGGUUAGAGGAGACCCCCCCAACACAAAAACAGCA